rnacentral:lncRNA from 1 species
GUCCUUUCCCCAGCUGCUGCCCACCUGGUGGAGUCCACCAAGGCCUGGCUCUCCUCCCGCGGCCAUGAGGGUGGCCUCCUGUGUGCUUCCACUACUCAGAGCAGAGGGAGGUCAGCUCCCAGGGCUGCUGAGGUGUGCUGCGUUCUCUUGGCCUCCCCGUGUCCCCAGUCCUGCCUUCAAGGCAGCACUGACUGGGAAUGGCAGAGACACGGAUCUCAGUGCGACGGCUCAGUUGUGUGAGUCUCAGGACUCGACGUCUGGCAUUGGCUGGAAGCGUGGGACCCGUCUUCUUGUUUUGUGGUUCUGAGGAUACCACCCAGGGGUAACCCUGAGCCACAUCCCCAGAGCUUUUCAUUGUUUCUUUUGGGACAGGGUCUCGCUAAGUUGCUUAGUGUUUUACUAAGCUGACGAGGCUGGCUUCAAACUUGCAAUCCUCCCUUGUCAGCCUCCUGCGCCCCUGGGAUUACAGGUGUGGGCCACAGCACCUGGCUUGGACCUGUCUUCUUGACCCUCUAAGGGUCUCUGCUGUUCCAGGGAGCAUCCCAAGCAGAGUUAAUCUAUCUGUCCAUCCAUCGUCCAUCUCCCUCCUCCCUCCCUCUAUGUCCAUCAGUCCACCUUCCUUGUCCCCAUCCUCCCAAGGGCAUGCUGACUGACAACUCUGAGAAGC